AACUUUCAACAACGGAUCAUCGAAUCUUUGAACGCACAUUGCGCCCGCUAGUAUUCUGGCGGGCAUGCCUGUCCGAGCGUCA
rnacentral:rRNA from 1 species